rnacentral:rRNA from 1 species
UUGACCUCGGAUCAGGUAGGGAUACCGCUGAACUUAGC